CGGGGUGCACCAGGCGCGAAAACUUUACAAUGCGGGAAACCGUGAUAAGGGGACACCGAGUGCCAGCAUCAUAUGCUGGCUGUCCAGGUGUGUAAAAUACACCUGUCAGCAAGGGCCGGGCAAGACCGGUGCCAGCCGCCGCGGUAACACCGGCGGCCCGAGUGGUGAUCGUGAUUAUUGGGUCUAAAGGGUCCGUAGCCGGUUUGGUCAGUCCUCCGGGAAAUCUGACGGCUCAACCGUUAGGCUUUCGGGGGAUACUGCCAGGCUUGGAACCGGGAGAGGUAAGAGGUACUACAGGGGUAGGAGUGAAAUCUUGUAAUCCCUGUGGGACCACCUGUGGCGAAGGCGUCUUACCAGAACGGGUUCGACGGUGAGGGACGAAAGCUGGGGGCACGAACCGGAUUAGAUACCCGGGUAGUCCCAGCCGUAAACGAUGCUCGCUAGGUGUCAGGCAUGGCGCGACCGUGUCUGGUGCCGCAGGGAAGCCGUGAAGCGAGCCACCUGGGAAGUACGGCCGCAAGGCUGAAACUUAAAGGAAUUGGCGGGGGAGCACAAGGGCGAAUCGC
rnacentral:rRNA from 1 species